GAGAUUGCAGAUGCCUGGAAAAUCCUUCGGAGAAACGUCUCCAAGUUAUUUCUCUGGCUUCGUUCCCUUUGUAUCUGUGCAUUAGAAAUAUCUGGGGAAAAAUACAGAAGAAAAUGCCAGCCUCUUUAGUAGGGGGAAAAUGUCCGCUUGGCGAAGGCGGAGAGAGAGAAAAUGUUCCCACCACGGGAGAAGCAAAGUCAAAACACACGAGCGAAUGGCUGGCGGUGGCGGGAACAUCUGAGAUGCCUUUUAUUAGCCGACUGUGGAUGGCGAGCCAACAGCGGUAGAACCGGCCCUUCCAUUCUCCGGAAUCUUGUUCAUUAUUCCGCAUUUGAUUUGUUUUCCUGAGCAGGAAGAGGGGUGGGGGAGCAGGGGAGAGAGAGAAUAUUAAUAAUAAUAAUACUAAUAAUAAAGUAUCAGGUCAGGAGUUUGAAGGGGAGAAAAAAAAGACAGUCCCAAUGAUGAAAGGUUUCAGCCCGAAAAAUCGACUGUUUAUUCCUCUCCAUAGAUGCUGCCUGACCUGCCGAGUUCCUCCAGAAUUUUGUGUUUGCUGCUGCAGAUGGUUUAUUUUGGUUAGUUGGAUUUUUUUUUCUUUCUCUCUCUCUCUCUCUCUCUCUCUGCCGAUCACGAGGAGCAAAGAGAGCCGGGGAAGGAGAGAUUCGGAGCAGCCAACAGUAAAUAAAGAAAUAUAAGUAAACAUAAGAUCCAAAACCAACAGCCACCAAAACAAAAAAAAACUAACAAAAGCAGUUGGAGAGCGUCAAGUGCGAACUCGGAGCUUCUUGGCUCGUCACAACAUCCGAUGGACAACGGUAAAUGUCUGGGAGUGUGAGAAAGACAGAGAGAAAAGAGCGUUCGGUGAAGGCGGGAGAGAAAGUUCGGCAAUUAAAGUCUAAGAAUGGAGCGUAAACACGUGAACUACCCGACGCGCCUGUUAAAUCCCACAUUCUAAUACAUGCAAACACGAAAAUACGUUUCCUGAAAGACAAAAUAUAGGAGACUUUCUUGUCAGCGUUUGGUUCUAUUCAAAUGUUGUUGUGUCUGUCGGACGGUCUGUGAUUGCUGAGGGGUCGGGGGUUGUUGGCGGUAGCGAAGUACAUUGUUCCGCCAAAUGAGAAGAGAGGGCUCUGCCUAUUCUGGGAAUGGCCCUUCCACACAUACAAAAAAAAUCAGAUCAUGCAAGGAUUGAACAAUAGGGCUUCAGUUCAUCAGCGACAAAAGAAAAGGGGGAGUUAUUUGAUUUUCAGACCACGUACCCGCCGGAGGGGCUGGACAAUCUUUACCCGCCCCCCCCAGGAAAAAAACUUGCACACAGUACCGUCACUUUUUUUUACUUCUUGGGUUUGUGAGAGCAAAAUGUUACGGGGAAAAGUUAUUUUUCUUUAAAGGUUGGAAGAUGUCCUCUCUGUUCUAGUGCCCUUUGAGUCAGAAUAAUGUUGUGGAAAUAAGCAGCUUCUUUGAAUAAAGGUGACGAGGAAUGGCAUUGGUUGCUUCCGGACCCACGAAGAAGUCAAAACUUGCCAAGAGGAGCCUUCAGCUGCGGGGUUUUGUGCAUCAAGAUCUCAGAAAUGAACCUUGAGGUUUAUAUUCCAGCGCCCUGUAAAGAGUAAAGCGGAUGCAUGUUCUGAAACAUAGUACCCAAGAAAACGCACAGAAGAUACCUAGUAUCUCUUUAUGACAAGAAUGAGAGAAGUGCUGCACAUAUUCCUGGAAUUUAAACAGUAUGAGGUCUGCUCUGGCAAUCUAAGCUGCUGCCUGAUCUACUGAGUGUUCCCAGCAUUUUCUGUCUUUCACUUCAGACUUCCACCAUCUGCAGACUUAUGAUUUUCAGUUACCACGCUGAUGAGGGUGUGUGUGUGUGACAAAUGGCCACUGGAAAUACGGAGAGCAAGUGGAUUAUGAUGCCAGUUUGAUGUUGCAAUAUUGGAGCUGCUCAGUCCAGAUCUAACUCCCAUGCCAACUCCAGAAAGUCAGAACACCAGAAUCAGGAAGAUAUUGAGUUGGGCACUUUGAUUGAGUUUGGCACUUGGAGGAUAGGAGGAAGGUGCUGAGAUAUGGGAAGGAUGUUGGAAGUCCAUCAGUAGCAGAUAUCUUUAAUGUUAGCAGAGUUACGGGAAUGGUGAAAAUUGUUAUGGCUCAAAGUUCACCCUGAUGUUCAUCUGUCAGAAUAUACACUCAGUAGCCACUUUAUUGGGUACACCUGUACACCAGCUCAUUAAUGCAAACAUCUAAUCAACCAAUCAUGUGGCAGCAACUCAGUGCAUAAAAGCAUGCAGACAUGGUCUGGAGGUUCAGUUAUUGUUCAGACCAAACAUCAGAAUGGAGAAGAAAUGUAAUCCAAAUGAUUGUUGGUGCCAGGCGGGGAGGUUUGAGUGUCUCAGAAAUGACUGAUCUCCUGGGAUUUUGACCCACAACAGACUCUAGAGUUUACAGAGAGUGGUACAGAAAAACCUUCCAGUUCUGUGGGUGGAAACGCCUUGUUAAUGAGAGAGGUCAGAGGAGAUUGGCUAGACUGGCUCAUGCUCUCAUGAAGGUGACAGUAACUCCAUUAACCACACAUUACAACAGUGGUAUGCAGAGGAGCAUUUCUGAAUCCACAGAACUUUGAACCUUGAAGUGGAUGGGCUACAGCAGCAGAAGACCAUGAGCAUGCGCACACUGGAUACUUUAUUAAGUAUAUCCAUGAGUCCUUCCUGCAAGGCCAUAUUUUAUAUCACCUUCUGAGCAGGAUUCAUUGGAUGCCAUUAUAUUUCAGUUGCAUGGACUCUGAUGCGUAUGGAACAUCAUAUUGCCGGAAUUGUCUAGUAUUUAUUCACAUUAUGCCAUCACCCUGUUACUUACGCACAGGAACUUUGGAAAAACAUCAAGUGUAAUUUAACUGAAAUAAGAAUAAAGAAGCAAAAGUGUAUUCAUUGAUUCAUGGAAAAUGCAUCUGAAAUACCAUCAUUAACUAGUAAUGACUUCCUACUCAGACAACCCUGCAGUUUGAACACACAAAAUAAACUAGAUUGAGAGACGAAGGAGAAAAAGAAAAUUUAUCUCCUCCCUGGUUUCUUUAGGGGCCUAGCGAAGUCAAAUUGCUCAGAAAUGAUAUAGGACUAUGCAAUGAAAAGAGAUAAAAUGCAAGCCUAGGUCAGGGUACCAAUUGUGAUUAGCUCCAUUGUUGGAGAUGCUUUGAGCUUCAUUGGCCCCAGAUAAAACAGCACUAAUGAAUCUAUCUGGGCUUGGCUGAAUUCUGUAUUGAAGGCACGUUUUCGUGGUAUUGUGGUAUACCGUAAGUAUAUAAAAGAUUUGUGUACAGUUGCAUUCACAAGACUAGCUUUCGCCAUUUUCCCACAAAUGUCUUCUGAUCGUUGUGUAACAGGAGGGAAAACAGAAAAUAGUGGUUUCUGAAAACGGAUUACAACAAACAGUGAGGAAAAUUUAGUUCAAGUUAAAACAACUAGAGCUAUCCAAAUGUUUUGUAAUUGAGAUCGAAUUAAUGCUUUGAUGUGACACUUCAUCUUUCUAAAGAAAACUUAAACUUGCUACUGAAAUGUUAAUCUGCUUUCUGUUUCCUUUCAGUCCUAGUGAAUACUUUUGAACAUUAUUAGAAGCAAAGCAGUAUGAAGCUUAUUUAUAGAAACGUUUUGUCUCUAAAACUAUCUCUUUGUAAUAUGUUUCUUUGAUCAUACCUAACUAAAUCGUUAAUUAAUUUAACUUUCCUUUGUUAAAUACUACAGAAAAUACAUAGUACAUUUAUGAGACUGUAUGUUUAUGUUUUCAAUAAAGCACCUAGAAACAUGAUAGUAUAAUAAUAAUACUGUGAGUCAUUGCUUUUUAGAAUUCAAAAAUGUACUUAAACAGCUGUAUUUAAACAGAAUUGGAUUUUACAUUUAUCUGAGCUAGUACUUUUGGAAUAAAACUUGAAAACUACACCAGCAAACUCGCUCUGAAUGUCUGCUGUUUAGUUAUCUCUGACAUUUAGCUGAAGAGACAUUUUCUGUGAAAUCUGUAAGAAAAUCCUGUGGGCAGUGCAGAAGCGAACAGAGUCUCAUGCAAUCACGUCUGACAGGUCACAACUUUUCCCCCCCCGCACCCUUCCCCCAAUCCAUCAAACAUUAAUAUACCAAAUGAUCCAAUUUCUCAUCUAUCUCUUUAUUCAUUUUAAACUUCUUAAUAUUCCACUAAAUAUCUCCAAAUAAAGCCAGAGAAAAGGAUAGGAAUACAACUAGGUAAAUCAACUUGAAUUUGAAAUCCGCUGUGGCAUAUUAAGUGGCACAGCCUCAUUGUAGGAAGGGGUGACCCUGCGGCUCCUUGCAGUUUGAAGCUAAUUGUUUUCGUCAGGAUGGGAACGUCUGGAAGACCAUUGCAGUGUCCCACCAGCAUAGCUGCAGUAACUGAGCUGGUCUGCAGAGAAUGAACUUACUUUGUAGCAACACAGCGUGCUCACACACCACCUAUUCUGCUCUCAAAACUGUCAUGCAUAACAACUUUAUUGUGCUAAAUUGAACUUGAAAGCAUCCAAAGGCGAUGAGAAGGAGAGGCUAUGAGAAAAGUGUGCUGUCAGUGCUGGCAAAGUCUGACCUGGAAAGAAGAUGCUGAGACAGGAGAAUAAAAGACCAAGCCCCGUGAACACAAUAUAUUGUUUCAUUUUAAAGUAUGAUUCCCAUACAAGAAAAUGUGAUGUAAAUUUAUUUAAAUGGAUUCCGUGGCUCCAAAGUUUGCCAGUCAGUCUUGCUUAACUUUCCCAGCUUCCUGAUUCGUUGCUUACAGUGGGAAUAUAAUGACAUAUAGUCAUCAUUGUAACAGCUUCUUUGCAGGGGCACAAUAAUGAUUAAUAGGCAGCAACAAAUUUUCACAUGGACUUUGAGUCACAGCGGCACUAAGCAUACCAAGCUCUCCCAAAUCCCCUUUUCUGUUCCAAUCAAAAGUUCUUCCCUUGUACCUUGCAGUUAUGAACAAAGCCCUUCGUUAUUCCAAUCAGCUUCCCUUAAUUCAGAGCAGACCUCUUUUUCUGAUUAAUUCAUGUGCUCCUUUUUCCCUUUCACUCCUUUUCACUCUGCGACAAUUCUUUAUUUUUAUAUACAUUUGUUCCCAGGAUUACUAAGUAGUUCCUUAGAAGCCCUUCAAACAGUGGACUGUAAACGGCUAUAGAAGAGAAGGCUGUAAAUGGAAUUUAAAAAAAAUACAAUUUUUCUCCCUCUUUUGACCAACACCAAGUUGUAAGAAGGGUAGAGGAGCAGCUACCCUGACAGGCAUAAAUCUGGGCUAGUCCUGAGUAUGCAGAGUUACAACAAUAGCUCAGCUCUUUUCAUUGUAUCACAGCUGGUUCCCAUGAGAGACUAACCGAGAACAGAGAUCAGUUUUCCUGACGAAAUGUUUAUUCACUUUAUAAUGGUAGUCACUUCUAAAUGUAAAGGAUUCACAUUAAGUUUGAUGCGUAUGACAUAUAUUCAUAAUAGAUCCCGCACUACAGUACAAAAAAAAGUAAAAAGUCUGAGCACAGAGAGGAAAGACUUUCAAAGAUCCUUCAUUUUAACCCUUGUAACAGAAGUGUAACAAAAUAUCUGUACCUAAUGUCUUUGUACAUGUAAUUUUAUACUAUUGUCCAACAAUAAUUCACCAGUACUGAGCAUACAUCUGCGGCUUACAUGUUCUCUUAUCAGUUUAUCAGGCCGACUACAAAUGUUGAGCACAGAUGAAGUUUGCAUAAUUUAAAGAUAAAGCUUUUUAAUGUGAUUACACAGGAAAUCCUAUACAAUAUUAAGUAGUCACCCGAGGGACUGAUAGACGAUGAAUGUUUGAAACAGGUGGCUGUUUAAUGUGUGUACAAUCCUUGUACAGCUGAGCUCGACUUCAGGUGAGCUGAUGCAGUGAAGUGUUGCUUUAAGUGGACAUCGGAAGUUUCAUACCAGUAUAUUAUAAACACUAAAGGUUCUGCAGAUAUUGGAAAACCAUUUCCCAUUCUGGCUCCCCUUUUACCCUUUCUCUUCUCCUCACCUGCCCAUCACCUCCCCUUAGUGCCUUUCCUCCUUCCCUUUCUCCCAUGGUUCACUCUCUUCUCCUAUCUGAUUCCUUCCUCUCCAGCCCUUUACCUUUUCCACCUAUCACCUUCCAGCUUCUUACUUCGUUCACGCUGCCCAGCCACCUGUCCACCUUCCCCCCCCCCCCCACCUUCUUAUUCUGGCAUCUCUCCCUUCUUUUCCAGUCCUGAUGAAGGGUCUCCACCCAAAACAUUAACUAUUUAUUCUCCUCUGUAAGAUCUGCUGAGUUCCUCCAGUAUUUUGUGUGUGUUGCUCUGGAUUCCCAGCAUCUUCAGACCUUCUGACAUUUUUGAGGGGGGUAAAUGUUAAUUUCAGCCUCUGCCCCAUUUUCUUUUCUGAUGCAGUCAGUUGCAGUCCAGAAAGAAUCAUAACAGUGGUUUAUCAUAAGCCAGAAAAAUAUUGAAAACUAUUUCUCAUUUUUGAUGCCUGACCUCCAGCAUUUCAGAAACAGAAUCAGGUUUAAUAUCACUGGCAUAUGUCGUGAAGUCUGUUAACUUUGCAGCAGCAGUACAAUGUAAUACAUGAUAAAUAUUUUAAAAAACUGAAUUACAGUAAGUGUAUAUUAAAUAGUUAAAUUAAGAUAAGUAGUGCUAAAACAGAAAUUUAAUAAAUAGUGAGGUAGUUUUCAAGGGUUCAAUGUCCAUUCAGAAAUUGGAUGGCAGAGGGGAAGAAACUGUUCCUGAAUCACUGAAUGUUUGCCUUCAGGCUCCUGUACCUCCUCCCUGAUGGUAGCAAUGAGAAGAGGGUAGCGGUGGUCCUUAAUGAUGGAUGCUACCUUUUUGAAGUACCGUACCUUGAAGAUGUCUUGGAUACCAUGGAGGCUAGUGCCCAUGAUGGAGCUGACUAAAUUUACAACUCUUUGCAGCUAACGUUGAUCCUGUUCAUUACCACGCCCCCUGCCCCCCCACCCCCAAUACCAAAUGGUGAUGCAGCCAGUCAGAAUGCUCUCUACGGUACAUCUGUAGACGUUUUUGAGUGUUUUAGGUGGCAAACCAAAUCUACUCUAACUCCGAAUGAAAUAUAGCCGCUGCCUUACCUUCUUUAUAUUUUGUUUGUGUUGCUCCAGAUUUCCACAGCUGCAAAAUCUCUUGUAUUUAGUUAGAACACCUCCUGCAUUUUCUUUCUUAACUUUCUUUAUGGCUAAAUUUGUUAUCUUCUGAAGCGUUGGAAAAAUCGUGAUUGGAAUUAGCCUAUACACACAGGGUCUGACGUAGGCAGCAUGCCAACUCUACCCAGUCAGAUAAUUAACAUCAUAGCAGUGUGCAGCUAAUGCUAGCCAUGUUGCAGAGUGUCUGCACUUCUCCACAGGAGGUCCCAAAAUUGAGAGAAGCUAAGACCACUUAAAACUGGCUUGCGUUAUUUAAAGCCAGCCAACGACUCUUAGAGGUGUUGAGUGGCUGGAGCAGGUGGUGGAUUUCUGGAAAAGUGUCCCUGCUGAAAAGCAGAUGUCUCAACUAUUGUUUUUUUUAAACUGAGAUUUGGGGAGGAUAAUUGCUUUUAGUACACCAUUGGCAUUCUGCCAGGGACUGAGAAAGAAAGGGAGAGAAAUAUCAAAAAAUGCUGGGUUCCUUGAGCAUUUUGUGUGUUACCCCUGAUGAAGGGUCUAGCCUGAAAUGUUGACACUUUUCAUAAUGCUGCCUGACCUGCAUCAGUUCCUCCAUCAUUUUGUGUGUGUUGAAAGGUCUCGGCCCCAAUCAUUGACUGUUUAUUCCCCUCCAUAGAAGCUGCCUGACCUGUUGAGUUCUUCCAGCAUUUUAUAUGUGAUGCUCUUGAAAAGAAUAUACCUGAAAAACUGUGUACCACUUUGGUCUGUCUACCCAGGGGUGGAUACACCAUACAUGCAAUAGCAGGAAUGCAAUAAAGAUUAACCAGAUUGACUCCUAGAAUGUCUUAUGAGGGCUGACUAAGCAAAUUGGGCCAAUAUUCUAGGCUAAUAGAAAUCUGAGAAAUUACUCUGGCAUUUCAGCAACUGCAGUAUCUCUUGUGUUUAUAUUCUUAACAUGAUUCUGUAUAACUACAGUAAGACAUCUUUCCCUUUGUACUCUGAUCCUCUUGUCGGAAAAGACAUGAGCCCAUUUGCCUUCCUAAAUGAUAGAGAUAUACAAAACUGAGGGGCAUAGAUAGGGUAAAUGCAGCAGGCUUUUUCCUGUGAGGUUUGGUGGCACUACUACUAGAAAUAAUGGGUUAAGGGUGAAACGUGAGAAGUUUAAGAGGAACAUGUGGGGAAACCUCUUCACUCAGAGGGGGGUGAGAGUGUGAAAGGAGCUGCCAGCACAAGUGGUGGAUGUGAGCUCAAUUUCAACGUUUAAGAGAAAUACCGAUCGGGAUAUGGAGGGCUGCAGUCAUGGUACAGGUUGAUGGGACUAGGCAGUUUUAAAAGGUUCAACGUGGACUAGAUGGACCAAAAGGCCUGUUUUUGUGCUGUACUUUUCUAUGACUCUGUGACUCUAAAUGCUUGCUACAUCAGUCCACUGGUAUUUUGUGAUUCAGGUGAAACAACUGAACACCUCUCUAUUUUGGAUGGUGCGGUAGCGUAUCAGUUAGCAUAAUGCAUUACAGUGCCAGUGACCUGACUGUAAAGGGUUUGUGCUUUCUCCCCCUAACCGCAUAGGUUUCCUCCGGGUGCUCCAGUUUCCUCCCACACUCCAAAGACGUACAUGUAAGGGUUAGUAAGUUGUGGGUAGGCUAUGUUGGCGACAGAAGGAUGGUGACUUUCGCGGGUUGCCCCGGCACGUCCUUGGACUGUGUUGUGUGUUGAUGCAAAUGACCCAUUUCACUGCAUGUUUCAUUGUUUCAAUGUACGUGUGACAAAUAAAGCUAAUCUCCCUUUUUUACUUUGAGAAGAAUGUGAAAGCUUUGGCGAGGAUGCAGAGGAGAUUUACCAAGAUAGUGUUUGGAUUAGAAAGCAUGUUUUAUGAAGAUAGGUAAAGCCAUCUCGGGCUUUUCUCUUUGGAGCAAAGGAAGAUGAGAGUUGACUUGAUAAAGGUGUACAAGAUAAUAACAGGCAUAGAAUGGUACAGAGCAUUUUCCUCUCUUGACGGAAUGGCUAAUACAAGGGGCAUAACUUUAAGGUGGUGUGAAGAAUGCAUGGGAGUGGGGCAAUGUCAGAGAGUGGUAGGUGCCUGCUAUAUGGGUGGUGGUGGAGGCAGAUAUAUUUAAAAGACACAGGAUGAAAUAAAAAUGGAGGGCUAUGUGGGAGGGAAAGGGUUAGAUUGAUCUUGGUGUUGAUUAAAAUAUUGAUAUAACAUCGGGGGCUGAAAGGCUUGCCCUGUUUAUGUUCUAUAGUUAUAGGGAAUGUCGACUCAGACCAUGAGGGGCCUGCGUGGGGCAUUUUCAUGCCUUACAAGGCGCAGGUUGGAAGUCUGUGUGGGGCGCCACUCCUCGCACAGACUAGAGCAAUGUGUGAUUAAGUGCCUUGCUCAAGGGCACAACCACGCUGCCACAGCUGAGGCUCGAACUAGCGACCUUGAGAUCACUAGACGAAUGCCUUAACCACUUGGCCACGUGCCCAACGCCAUAAUUAUAACAAGCGUUUAACUUUCAAAAAAAAAAGAAAAUCCACUCUUCACAUCAAAACUCCAUGACUAACUAGCCGACAGACCUUGCCCAAAAAGCUGUUAUGAUUUUGGAGAGAGGGGUAAAUGUUAGUUUCUCCCCCUGCCCUAUUUUUGUUACUGGUGCAGUCAAUUGAAUGCUUAGUCCAGAAAGAUUCACUACCACAGUAUCUCACAGCCUGCUAUGGAAAUACCAAUUUCUUUGAAUGGAAAAUCCUGUAAGAGGUAGUGCAUUCAGCCCAGUAUUUCAGUAAGUCCCUCCCAACCAUUGAGCACAUUUACAUGAAACACUGCUGUUAAAAAGUAACAUCCAUCAUCAGAGAUCCUCACCACCCAGGUCAGGCUCCUUUCUCGCUGCUGCCCUCAGGUAGAAGGCGCAAGAGCCUCAGGACUCGCACCACCAGGUUCAAAAGCAGUUACUAACCUACAACCAUCAGGCUGUUGAACAAAAGGGGACAACUACAGCACAAACAACAGGAAUUCUGCAGAUGCUGGA